rnacentral:rRNA from 2 species
AGAUGCAAUCAUACCGGCACUAAAAGCAUCGGAUCCCAUGAGAACUCCGAAGUUAAGCAUGCUAGGGUGAGAGUAGUACUAGGAUGGGUGACCUUCAUUACCAUCUUAAUUUUUUUCUA